CCUACGGGAGGCUGCAGUGAGGAAUAUUGGUCAAUGGGCGCGAGCCUGAACCAGCCAAGUCGCGUGAGGGAGGACGGCCCUACGGGUUGUAAACCUCUUUUUCCGGGGAGCAACGGGCGUCACGUGUUGCGCCACUGAUAGUACCCGGAUAAAAAGCAUCGGCUAACUCCGUGCCAGCAGCCGCGGUCAUACGUAGGGGGCAAGCGUUAUCCGGGGUUACUGGGUGGAAAGGGAGCGUAGGCGGGUUAGCAAGUCAGAAGUGAAAGCCAGGGGCUCAAAUCCGGGACUGCUUUUGAAACUGUUGAACUAGAUUGCAGGAGAGGUAGGUGGAAUUCCUAGUGUAGCGGUGAAAUGCGUAGAUAUUAGGAGGAACACCAGUGGCGAAGGCGGCUUACUGGACUGUAAAUGACGCUGAGGCUCGAAAGCGUGGGGAGCAAACAGGAUUAGAUACCCUAGUAGUC
rnacentral:rRNA from 1 species